GAUGAACGCUAGCUACAGGCUUAACACAUGCAAGUCGAGGGGAAACGAUAUUGGAAGCUUGCUUCCGAUAGGCGUCGACCGGCGCACGGGUGAGUAACGCGUAUCCAACCUGCCCACCACUUGGGGAUAACCUUGCGAAAGUAAGACUAAUACCCAAUGACGUCUCUAGAAGACAUCUGAAAGAGAUUAAAGAUUUAUCGGUGAUGGAUGGGGAUGCGUCUGAUUAGCUUGUUGGCGGGGUAACGGCCCACCAAGGCGACGAUCAGUAGGGGUUCUGAGAGGAAGGUCCCCCACAUUGGAACUGAGACACGGUCCAAAACUCCUACGGGAGGCAGCAGUGAGGAAUAUUGGUCAAUGGGCGAGAGCCUGAACCAGCCAAGUAGCGUGCAGGAUGACGGCCCUAU
rnacentral:rRNA from 1 species